rnacentral:rRNA from 1 species
AUUGAACGCUGGCGGCAGGCCUAACACAUGCAAGUCGAGCGGAUGAAGGGAGCUUGCUCCUGGAUUCAGCGGCGGACGGGUGAGUAAUGCCUAGGAAUCUGCCUGGUAGUGGGGGAUAACGUCCGGAAACGGGCGCUAAUACCGCAUACGUCCUGAGGGAGAAAGUGGGGGAUCUUCGGACCUCACGCUAUCAGAUGAGCCUAGGUCGGAUUAGCUAGUUGGUGGGGUAAAGGCCUACCAAGGCGACGAUCCGUAACUGGUCUGAGAGGAUGAUCAGUCACACUGGAACUGAGACACGGUCCAGACUCCUACGGGAGGCAGCAGUGGGGAAUAUUGGACAAUGGGCGAAAGCCUGAUACAGGCAUGCCGCGUGUGUGAAGAAGGUCUUCGGAUUGUAAAGCACUUUAAGUUGGGAGGAAGGGCAGUAAGUUAAUACCUUGCUGUUUUGACGUUACCAACAGAAUAAGCACCGGCUAACUUCGUG